UUCCUACGGGAGGCUGCAGUGGGGAAUAUUGCACAAUGGGCGCAAGCCUGAUGCAGCCAUGCCGCGUGUAUGAAGAAGGCCUUCGGGUUGUAAAGUACUUUCAGCGAGGAGGAAGGCAUUAAGGUUAAUAACCUUAGUGAUUGACGUUACUCGCAGAAGAAGCACCGGCUAACUCCGUGCCAGCAGCCGCGGUAAUACGGAGGGUGCAAGCGUUAAUCGGAAUUACUGGGCGUAAAGCGCACGCAGGCGGUCUGUUAAGUCAGAUGUGAAAUCCCCGGGCUCAACCUGGGAACUGCAUUUGAAACUGGCAGGCUUGAGUCUUGUAGAGGGGGGUAGAAUUCCAGGUGUAGCGGUGAAAUGCGUAGAGAUCUGGAGGAAUACCGGUGGCGAAGGCGGCCCCCUGGACAAAGACUGACGCUCAGGUGCGAAAGCGUGGGGAGCAAACAGGAUUAGAUACCCCGGUAGUC
rnacentral:rRNA from 1 species